AUCGCUUCUGCGCGGGGAAGGAUGAGAACCUUUGACUAAGGUUCGGGUCGAGCAGAGCGAGACAACGUUGCCGCAGGCAACGGCCCGCAGGGCGAGGCGCGAAGCGUCGAGUAAUCCUUCCCCCACCACCA
rfam:Cronobacter sp. DJ34 Bact_A5_2, whole genome shotgun sequence.